rnacentral:lncRNA from 1 species
CUCAAACCUUAGCUCCUGUGCCUACAUGCUGCCUGAUUCACUAGGUGCCCCAUGGGAAGCCGUCAGACCUUUGCCUUCUCACAGGAAUCACAAGAUUUGAGAUUCUGGGUUCUGCCAGCACCCUCAAUUCACGGGUCCUGCACUCCCCUCAGUGUGGAGCAGGGCGGCCCUCCUACUUGAUCCAAAGCCCACUCACACUUCAACUGGUGCAGAGGUCCGCCAACCUCAUCAGAAGAAGGGAGGAUGCAUCCAUAUCUAGAGGAGGCAGGAGGGAUCACAUCGACUUUACUGUGGACAGUAGCUCCUGAGAAGUCUAGUGUGACUGUGUGACUCCCAACUAGAAUGGAGCCCUGGAGGGCAGGGCUGUGUCUGCUCUGUGCACUGGACUAUGGUCAGUGCCUAGAAAACUGCCUGCACCUAGUGGGGCCUCAUCUCUAUAUGAUGAAUGAAUGAGCUCCAACCAGCCCCAUCACAGAUGUCUGAGUGGGCCGAGGGCCCUCCUUCUCAUCCCCAGGGAUCUCUGCUCUGGCUUCACCCAGGACAGGGACCCCUAGAUGGAAUCUCAAAUCUCCUUUUCAAAUGGGAAAACAGCUCAGCCCAAGGCCACGGGGACAAUGAUGGAUGAGGCAGAGGCUUCAUUAUGUAGAAGACGAAAAUGACUAAUUAGUACAACCACAGCCCCUGCAGCAGACCUGUCCCCAGGGCCAGCCCCACAGAGUGCUUCCCACGAGCAUCCCAGUGAGUCCCUACAAUAUCCACAUGAGGUUGAAGCUCUAUUUGCCACACUGUGCAGAGGAGCAAACUGAGGCUCAGAGAGCUGCAUUCUGAAGACUCUGAGCUAGCAGGCAGCCGAAUCCCCACUGUGCUGUGCAGGGGCAGGGUGCUUACCUUUAAACAGCAGCUCCAGCACCUGUUGGGUGGUGGCAAAAGCUCUGCAUGUGCCCAGGAGGCUGUGGGUGUAAGUGCUGUCGCUGUGCAGGAAGGCGGGCACCAGGCUCUCCCCCAGCCUCUCCAGUGUGCCGGCCUGGAUGGGCCACACCAUGUGGGUCUCGUUCCUGUUCACCGUUGAUCCAUUUUCAUCCUGGGGUGGGACAGAGGAGGGACUUGCCAUCAGAGGCAGCACCAUGGACAGCAGGAGAGCUGGGGGGCAGGAGCUCAGACCCAACUCCCAAGCCCUCAGUGACUUGUGGUAAGAGGUGGGGUAUGAGUGCCCACAGCAGGAAAAAGUUCUUGGCGUUAAAAGUAGAAUUUGAGGAGGGGAAUGAUUAAACAUUGUUAGCUGAAUACUGACAGCGUCUCCAUGUGUUAACAGCAUCGUCCCUGUGAUUUCUGAAAACAUAGCCCAUCGUAGAGAUAAGAACACAGAGGCUUUUCUUGGGGUAGAGGGAUCAGGACAGGAGCACAUGCAGGAUGGUCAGCGCAGUGCUGUGAAAAUGGCAACACAAGUCCCACAUCAGUGAGGGGCUGAGACACUGUGGGAAAGGGUCUCCCUUCUGGAAUGUUGUGCAGCCCAGUGAGGCCCCGGCCCCUGACCUGGAGGGGCCAUGGGGACGUGUUCCUCAGGAUGGCAAAUUGCCAUCUGCAGAGUAACAGACAUAGUGCCCCGUGUCCUUUUGGGGAAAAGCAUCCCUACCACUCGAGAUGAGGUGUAAGACGUGGAGAUGUGGAAGGGUUACUGGGUCAA